CAUCAUCCAGACUUCCGAACCCAGCAGACUGAACUUGCCACCCACCAUCUAUGGGCAGCUGUGCAGAGGCAUGGUGACUCUGAUCUGUUUUCCAGAUGCUGCGCAUUGCUCACAUGCAAGCUGGGUUAUACUGUAGCUGGCUACACUGGGAAUACGGCAAGAUGCCUCAUUUUGUAUUCUCUUGUAAGAGCCUUUAGUCUCUCUUCAGGACCAGCAUGGAAGAAGGGACUUAUGUAUUCCAGGCUGGACUCCAGUUCUCUUCGUAGGAUGUCACUCACUAUGAUGUGAUCCAGUCUGAGGAGACUCUCACCAGAGGCUGAACCAAUGGAACUGCCCAAUCUUGGAUGUCUAGCAUUCCAGAUUUCAAGCUAAAUAAACCUCAUU